UUUCGAAUCAUUCACAAUGGGCGAAAGCCUGAUGGUGCGACGCCGCGUGAGGGAUGAAGGUCUUCGGAUUGUAAACCUCUGUCACCGGGGAAGAAACGCUUUGAGUUAAUAGUUCAAAGCCUGACUUAACCCGGAGAGGAAGCAGUGGCUAACUCUGUGCCAGCAGCCGCGGUAAUACAGAGACUGCAAGCGUUAUUCGGAUUCACUGGGCGUAAAGGGUGCGCAGGCGGCCAAGUGUGUGAGGCGUGAAAGCCCGGGGCUUAACCCCGGAAUUGCACCUCAAACUACAUGGCUAGAGCAUUGGAGAGGGUAGCAGAAUUCAUGGUGUAGCAGUGAAAUGCGUAGAUAUCAUGAGGAAUACCAGAGGCGAAGGCGGCUACCUGGACAAUUGCUGACGCUCAGGCACGAAAGCGUGGGGAGCAAAA
rnacentral:rRNA from 1 species